GCCAUCCUGACAAAGCCCUU
rnacentral:miRNA from 1 species